UAGAAUCCAUGUACUUCACAAAAUCAAUUUGUAAACGAGGGACUAAUGGAAUAUUUGAAGGAAAAACAGCUAGAAUUAUAUCCCUUAGAGUUAUUUGGUGGAGACUCCGAAAAUGUAUUUACACCUGCAGUGGGAGAAGUUUUACAGUUUAGGACCAAUCCCGCCAUGAACAAGGGAACAGCCGUAUUUGUUAGUGGAUACUGGAGAAAAGGAAAAUGUAUAAAUAUCAUCAAUAAUAUGUCAAGAGGAAAAUUGUUUGUAAUAGAAGAUGACAAUACAAAAUACAAAUUUGAACUCAACAGAUACCAGCUUAGACCUUACAAUUGUUAAACAUAUUCUCAGUG
rnacentral:lncRNA from 1 species